rnacentral:tRNA from 4 species
GCCCAGGUGUUGGAAUCGGUAGACAAGAUGGUCUCAAAAACCAUUGGGAGCAAUCCCGUGGGGGUUCGAAUCCCCCUCUGGGCACCA